rnacentral:rRNA from 1 species
GGUUCGAUCAUGGCUCAGAUUGAACGCUGGCGGGAUGUUUACACAUGCAAGUCGAACGGCAGCACGGUUUCGGUCUGGUGGCAGGUAGCGACAGGUGAUAAUGUAUCGGAACGUGCCUAGUAGCGGGGAUAACUACGCGAAAGCGCCGUAAUACAUACGCCCAUCGGGGAAAAGCGGGGACCUUCGGGCCUCGCACUAUUAGAGCGACCGAUAUCGGAUUAGUUGGUGGGGUAACGGCUCACCAAGGCGUGAGUCAUGGCGCUGGCGGUUUGAGGACGACCAGCCACACUGGAUUUGAGACACGGCCCAGACUCCUACGGGGAGGCAGCAGUGGGGAAUUUUGGACAAUGGGGAAACCUGAUCCAGCCAUCCCGCGUGUGCGAUGAAGGCCUUCGGGUUGUAAAGCACUUUUGGCAGGAAAAGAAACGGCACGGGAUAAUACCCCGUGCAACUGACGAUUACCAGAAUAAGCACCGGCUAACUACGAGUACCAGCAGCCGCAAUGACAGCUACGUAGGUGCAAGCGUUAAUCGGAAUUACUGGGCGUAAAGCGUGCGCAGGCGGUUCGGAAAGAAGAAUAUGAAAUCCCAGAGCUUAACUUUGGAACUGCGUUUAACUACCGAGCUAGAGUGUGUCAGAGGGAGGUGGAAUUCCGCGUAUGGCAAGUGAAAUGCGUAGAUACUGCGGAGGAACACCGAUGGCGAAGGCAGCCUCCUGGGAUAACACUGACGCUCAUGCACGAAAGCGUGGGAGCAAACUGGGUUAGAUACCCUGGUAGUCCACAACGAUGUCGCUAGCUGUUGGGGCCUUCGGGCCUUGGUAGCGCAGCUAACGCGUGAAGUUGACCGCCUGGGGAGAGUACGGUCGCAAGAUUAAAACUCAAAGGAAUUGACGGGGACCCGCACAAGCGGUGGAUGAUGUGGAUUAAUUCGAUGCAACGCGAAAAACCUUACCUACCCUUGACAUGUCUGGAAUCCCGAAGAGAUUUGGGAGUGCUCGCAAGAGAACCGGAACAGGUGCUGCAUGGCUGUCGUCAGCUCGUGUCGUGAGAUGUUGGGUUAAGUCCCGCAACGAGCACAACCUUGUCAUUAGUUGCUACGAAAGGGCACUCCUAAUGAGACUGCCGGUGGUAACCGGAGGAAGGUGGGGAUGACGUCAAGUCCUCAUGGCCCUUAUGGGCGGGCUUCACACGUCCUUUGUGGUCAGGACAGAGGUGUAACCCGCGAGGAGCCAAUCCCAGAAACGAUCGUAGUCCGGAUCGCAGUCUGCAACUUGACUGCAUGAAGUCAGAAUCGCUAGUAAUCGCGGAUCAGCAUGUCGCGGUGAAUACGUUCCCGGGUCUUGUACACACCGCCCGUCACACCAUGGGAGUGGGUUUUACCAGAAGUGAUGGAUUAGCCCUAUUGUGUAAGGAGGGCGAUUACCGGUAAGUUCAUGACUGGGAGUGAAGUCGUAACAGGUAG